CUGAUGUUCUCACCCUCCACAGAGUUGAUACCAAGCUCUGUGCGACUGAUGCCUGGAGCUUUACUACAGGACACCCAAGGACUGCUGGAAAGGGACUACUGUUUUACCUUUUCCUGUGAGCACUGGCUAUUUUUACUUCUGAAAAGGCAUCUCUUUCCAUCAGAACAGACACUAUCAUCCCUGGAAAAGCUGUCACCCCACAGACAGGAAUCUCCGAUGCAU
rnacentral:lncRNA from 1 species